GGAGGUUUAAACGGCUGCACCCCAGAGCUAGCGCUCAGUAGCCGAGGUCUGCUGGUUUGGAGCCGGCGCGGCUGGCGCCGCGACAACGAAUUCCGAGGUACAGAGGGGUUUCGGCAGAUUUCCUUUCCCUGGGGAAACCCGGGAGAGGAGAAUGACCCGGUAGCGGCUGCCAGCUCUCCCGAGAGAGGCUCACGUGGCGUGGGCGUUGCCGAGGCAGUGGCGCCCGCACGCAGGGAGGGCCAUGACGCGUCGCUGCCACCGGGCUCGGAGAGUAGGAGGCUUGGAGCCAUGACCCUGGCAAGCCUGUAUCAGCAUCUGAACAUUCUCUCAGUGAAGACCCUUUUCUCAUACGCAACCUGAACCUCCCCUGAUGAAACUUCUGGCCAUUUCCUUGGGUGACAUGGACAGUGGUAUCAAAUGCACCCUCAGCAAAUUUGCAGAGGACACCAAACUGAGUGGUGCAGAUGACAUGCUAGAGGAAAGAAAUGCCAUCCAGAGGGACCUUGACAGGCUUCAGAGUCUUCUAUAAGAGGAACACUUAAUUCCCACCAAGCUGAUCCAAAGCUGAACCGUGUGAAUGUCUUGGGAUUAAAGAGAAAGAGAGGACAACCAGUCAUGCUAAAGACUGAGACAUAGGAAAAGCAGAGGUCUGUAUGUUGGAGGAGAGGUAAGAGAAGAGUCCAUCUCUUUGUGCCCAUGUCUGCAUCUGCCAGGGGAAACUAAGGAAGAAUGGAAGUACCACUUCCUACCACGUACUCUGAUAUCACAGUACUUUACAGCCUGAAGUCUUUUAAAAUUUUGUGAUGGACUGUGUGGAAAUUUAUCCCACUGGGUAACCCAUCCGUGUCAUAUUCUAAUCCUUAUGUUUGUAACCUAUUUCUGCUACCUCCCAUCUGCCUUUUCUUUGAAGCUUAUAAUUUACAUUGUGUUUGUGCCACCACCCACAUUCUGCCUCACGACAGUGAACAGGAAAGAGUGCUUCCUGUAAAUACUGGGAGAUACCCAACCCUAAUGACCAUAAAGAGCACUGGGGCAAGCACAUUCAGAAGUACCAGCAGUUCUGUAUGUACCAUGUUGCUCUAGGCAUUCCUCCUGAUCACUAGAACAAGAAAAUGUAUAAUUUGGAAAGUUGAGGUUGUAUGUAUGUCAUUCUGAAAUUGUUUAUUUAUUUCCAUGGAAACUACAGCAGAUACAAAGAGCACAAUAACACUAUUUGAUCGAGCAAAUUCUCAGCUACAAAACACUGCUUUUCCAACAUAGUCACCACCAUUAGCUGUGCAUUUUCACCAGUGACGAACAAGAGCCUGCAUGCUGCUCUUAUAAAAAUCUGCUGAAAUGCACCACCCACCACCUCACUGUGCACACAUCUACAGUUUGUCUCCAUAAACAUUCAGCAAAUGUAGAUGGAUGACAGUGGAUGCCAUUUUCUCUUCACGAAGAAAUUCAGUUCCACACUUCUGCUUCAUAUGCACUUCUGCAUCAGAUGUUGUUUUGUCAGACUGCCCCUCUGCUGCCAUCUGUUGCACAGCAGCAAAAUACAAUAGAAUAUUGGUGGGAAGGUUCAACCUCUACUGUUACACAACCAACAUCCACUUCUGAUGUCAUGGAUCUACAUAAUAAAUUAGGAGGCAUUGUUUUCGGAGCAACUUUCCUAAUUACUGUUACAACAAGCAAUCUUUUGUAUCAUAUGCUAACUGCACACAUAAUCAGAUGUAUUUUCAAUAUAUCUAUGUGUCUAUGCAAGACAAGGAACAGUGGACUAAGCUUGUUCUCAACACUGCAAUUCAUAGGCAUAUAAAUUCUUUGAAACAUUACUAAAAUAAACAUGAAAUUACCUACUUGAGGAGCCUGGGCAUAGCAAAAAAACAUGGGUAAUGAUACAGAAAGUAGAGUUUAUCCUUAUCUACUAACUUAUUUCCAUCAGUGUGUAGUGUAUCUUUAUUACUUCAGAUAAGUGUCCUACUUCACGUUAGAGAAUCUCAUAUGCUUUUGUAAGUACUACAGUAUAAAUCAUACUAAUGCAUAUUCUACUUUGUUAGUAAGCUGUAACAUCUAAUGAAUGAAAAACAGUGUAAUUAACAAGCAAAGCGCUUUUCCACACAGGAACAGAGGUGGGUGGGCUUUCAAGUAGCAUGGGGGAAGAAUGCUGUGCCCAAUUUGCAUCCCAAGCACGGGGAGAGGCAUUGGAGGUUCACCCCACGGAGCAGCAGAUUUUCUUCUAAGAAAGUACAGAAGCUUCUCUAGCCAGGCUUCCUGGCCAGCUUCAUCUUAUUUUGUGUAACCAGGUCUCUCCUCUUUCACAGCUGCUGCCCUGGAGCAGCAGGGUGCUGUGUACCCCACACAGCCUGUGGUUGCAAGAAGCAUAAAACCCAUCUUCGCCCACACAAAGACAGAGUUAGACAGAGGGGGAUAUGUCCAGAUGCUUCUCCCAGGGAAACUAACAGAAAAGAAAGAAAGAGUCACCUCUGCUUGCCCUCCUGCGUUCUUUGUGUUGUCCUCCCACAAAUGCAUUUCCUGAGUUUCACCCACACCAGAAACAGCUUUCUCAUUCUCCUAACACAAUUCCAGUUUCUUACUAAAUCUGUCUUCUAUAUCCACAUUUUUUCAGGACAUUUACAACAGGCAGACACCUCCAUUCACAAAUCUCUACAAAACAGCAUUUUCAGGAGCUAGAACAGCCUAACAUUUGUAUUAUAUGUGUAUGACACAGAUUCUAGGAGACCUUUUUUCUCUUCGUUUUCUAAUAUUUCAAGCCAUCUUUUCUCCAUUUCAUUUCUAAUUCUGUCACAAUGUGUUGAUUGCAAAGUGCUUGCAGUAUGAACCUGCCCUUUUGCAUUUACAUGUGUUAAAAAUGCUGUGUAGAAACAAUAGCAUCCUUUGACUUCAUUGUGACUAAAAUUGAACCCUUAGUUUUUAAAAUAAAACUAUUUCCUCAUUUUAAGUGACUCAAGUGAUUUAAUUUUGUCCAGAUGUGGUGCAUGCAGUUUGGACUUACAAAUCCAAACAUUCAUUUUGAUCUAUUUCUGUAGGAUUGACAGGC
ensembl:lncRNA